CCCGAUCCCCAUCCCAUUCACACUGUCAGCAGCCCAGCCCACACUCCAAUCAAUCCUUCCUUCCUCCCUCGCUCCCUCGCUCCCCCCUCCUCCUCCCCCCCGGCGAUCGCAGGGAAUUCGCCGCCGCGAUCCGGCCCCGUCGCGCCCCUCGGAGCCGGUCCNNNNNNNNNNNNNNNNNNAGAGCAUAUUGACGACCAAGGGGCCUUGAGAGAUAGGAUAUACCGGUACACACAUUGGCAUGUUAAGGAGAAGCAUUGGAGCUACUUGGUGUAGCCAUUAUCGGACGUGCGCUACGCCGUUAUCCGCAACAUUGUGAGUAGAAGUUACGACCGUAAUCUGUUUCCAACCUUAUUAAUUCUGGACCUGGUGCAUUCACGAAGAUGGGAGUUUACCUUAGUACCCCCAAAACUGAGAAGCUAUCUGAAGAUGGGGAAAAUGAUCAACUUAAAUUUGGACUUUCAUCUAUGCAAGGGUGGCGUGCGAGUAUGGAAGAUGCUCAUUCAGCCUUGCUAGAUAUCGAUGAGGACACAUCAUUCUUCGGUGUUUUUGAUGGACAUGGAGGAAAAGUGGUUGCCAAAUUCUGUGCAAAAUAUCUACACAGGGAAGUUCUCAAAAGCGAAGUUUAUUUAGCUGGUGACCUGGGAGCUGCUGUCCAUGGAGCUUUCUUCAGAAUGGAUGAGAUGAUGCGGGGUCAAAGAGGCUGGCGAGAACUACAGGCACUUGGAGAUAAAAUAAACCAGUUUACUGGCAUGAUAGAAGGGCUGAUCUGGUCUCCGAGAGGCAGUGAUUCAAAUGAUCGACAUGAUGAUUGGGCUUUUGAGGAGGGACCUCACUCUGAUUUUAGCGGGCCAACCUGCGGGAGUACAGCCUGUGUUGCAAUGAUAAGGAAUAGUCAACUUGUUGUGGCAAACGCCGGAGAUUCCCGCUGUGUUAUCUCAAGGAAUGGCCAGGCAUACAAUUUAUCAAGAGAUCACAAACCAGAGCUUGAAGCAGAGAGAGAACGGAUAUUGAAAGCAGGGGGUUACAUCCAAAUGGGACGAGUAAAUGGAACUAUAAACUUGUCAAGAGCAAUUGGAGAUAUGGAAUUUAAACAGAAUAAAUUCUUGUCUCCUGAUAAGCAAAUGUUGACAGCAAACCCUGAUGUAAACACUGUCGAGCUUUGUGAUGAUGAUGACUUUCUUGUUUUAGCAUGUGAUGGCAUUUGGGACUGCAUGUCGAGCCAACAGCUAGUCGAUUUCAUCCAUGAGCACCUAAAGACAGAGAGCAGCCUUUCUGCAGUGUGUGAAAAGGUGCUCGAUAGAUGCCUGGCUCCAUCAACAUUAGGUGGAGAAGGAUGCGACAACAUGACGAUGAUCCUAGUGCAGUUCAAGAAGCCAAUUGACCAUGGCAAAAAUGCCAGUGCUGGUGAACAAUCAGCUGUUGGGGAUAAGAAUGUAAGUGCUGGUGAACAAUCAACGGCCGAGGAUAAGAAUGCUAGUGCUAGCGAUCAAUCAGCUGUCGAGGACAAGAAUGCUAGUGCUGGUGGACAAUCAGCUGUCGGGGACAAGAAUGCUAGUGCUGGAGGACAAUCGCCUGGUGACAUAGAACAGUCCGCGAACGAGGAGAAGAACUCGUGAUGUCAUGUCGUAGCCUGGCUGCAGGUGGACACGGGCCGUCCACGGCGCCCACUUAAAAGCCCACAUAAUUUGCGUUCGUGGACGCCCAUGUAAUCUGCGAUAGAGAAGUGGGAUAAGUG
rnacentral:rRNA from 1 species